rnacentral:rRNA from 1 species
UACGAGGGGGGCGAGCGUUGUUCGGAAUUAUUGGGCGUAAAGGGUGCGUAGGCGGCCUGACAAGUCUGAUGUGAAAUCCCUGGGCUCAACCCAGGGCCUGCAUCGGAAACUGUCGGGCUUGAGUAUGGGAGAGGUGAGUGGAAUUUCCGGUGUAGCGGUGAAAUGCGUAGAUAUCGGAAGGAACACCUGUGGCGAAAGCGGCUCACUGGACCAUAACUGACGCUGAUGCACGAAAGCUGGGGGAGCAAACAGG